AUUGGCAUCAACUUACCGAUUGUUUUCUUUUUACAUCCUGUCUUUCGAUUCUGGGCUUCUUCUAGAGCAUUUGCGAAGAAGAAGGGCCUUUAUGAUUUGAUGUUUUGCACUUUAUUCGUUUUGUAUGAAGCGGCUUUGCUGAUAAUUCCACCAAAAAUAAUCAUAGACUGCAAUAUACCACCCGCAUCAUCUUGCGCGUUAGUAAUGGAACAGUUUAGACUUUUUAUGAAGAGUUAUGCAUUUGUUCGAGAAAACAUUAACAGAG